rnacentral:rRNA from 1 species
UACGUAGGGGGCAAGCGUUGUCCGGAUUUAUUGGGCGUAAAGAGCGUGUAGGCGGCUAGAUAGGUCCGUUGUGAAAACUCGAGCUCAACCUCGAGACGCCGGUGGAAACCAUCUAGCUAGAGUCCGGAAGAGGAGAGUGGAAUUCCUGGUGUAGCGGUGAAAUGCGCAGAUAUCAGGAAGAACACCCGUGGCGAAGGCGGUUCUCUGGGACGGUACUGACGCUGAGACGCGAAAGCGUGGGGGAGCGAACAGG